GUCUGGAGCUGGCAUGUCAGUUAACUGCUAGUAGUCUGUUGUUAUUUAUGUAUUAUUGUCAUUUUAUUUAUUUUCUUUUGUUACAUCUUUUGACAUCAGACUCGGACUUCUCUUGAACUGAAUUUUAAUAUGCGUAUUGUUAUUCUUUUACUUUUCUACAUUGGCUAGAGGUAUAGGGGGAGGGUUGAGAUCUCAUAAACAUGUUUAACCCCG
rnacentral:lncRNA from 1 species